UAGUCAUGAAAAGGAAGUGUAAAUAUGCACGUGAGGUCCAGGAGCUCAGAUGGUAGAGCGCUUGCCUAGCAUGCAUCAAAGCCCAAGUUCAAUCGCUAGAACUGUAUGAAUCAGAUGUGGUGAUGCACACCUGCAAUCCCGGCACUUGGGAGGUCGAGGCAGGAGACCCAGGAGCUCACGGUUACCCAUAGUUCGCACAUACAGAGAGGAGGAAGUCAACAUUUCUUGAAGCCAGUGGGUGGAAAUGUCUCCGGAUGGCUUAUGUAUGUUGAAACCUUGGUCCCCAGCUGGUGAAACCAAUCAUUGAGGGAUUAUUGUUCAUGAAGUCUCUGACCUAGUUAAUGGACAAAACCAUUGAUGGAGUCAUAAUUUGAUGGCAUUACUGGAAAAUACUAGAAAGACCUAGUUGGAAACAUAGUUUGCUUGGAAUAAGGUUUGUGACUGCUUCUUUCCUUGUGGGCUCUUUCACCACCUGGCCACCAUGAGGUGAGUAGUCUUUGCUGUCACAUGCACCUCACUCCCCACAGACCCUAAGUCGAUGGAGCAAGCCGAGUCAAACAUGGACUGAAAUC